rnacentral:lncRNA from 1 species
AGGAAUCACCGUGGUGUCCGCCGCCCAUGAUCUCCAUCAUCCUAUCAUCGAUCUCGUCUCGUCCUAUCAUCGAUCUCGUCUCGUCCUAUCUCGCUACCCAUAUUAUACCAUUAUAAAAUAAGAAAGACGGUCAUUAACUAUUACUACUUAAUCAUGCAUUCCUCUAAUGAAUGUUUGUUUUAAUUUGUAGUAAUCAAUUAGAUGAUCGCCCGUUUGUCAUCAUUUCCUGAAUUUUUAUGUAUUAUUGUAUUUCCUUUGUGUCGCCUCGAUCAUUUUUUCAAUGAGUAUCUUAUAUUAUAAUCAGCUAUUUGUAUUGCUUCAUUUCUUGUUCUGUUCGUGUCGUUUCAUUUCUUGUUCUUUUAUCUGUAAGAAAACUCGAUCGCUUUUUCUUCUCCAUUCAACCGUGAAUCGGAUCGCUCAUCAUGACAACGGCUAAAAUUUACAUUUUCCGUUUAGCUCAAUGAUGUACUUGACAACGACUAUCGCUCAAUUAAGCCUGGAUAAUAAAUUAUCUUA